AUGGUGUUGUGUGUCCAAGAUGGUGGUGUGUGUAAAAGAUGGCCAUGCACUGUCCAAGAUGGUGUCUGGUCCAUAGAUGGUGGUGCUUAUCCAAG
rnacentral:lncRNA from 1 species